AGAGUUUGAUCAUGGCUCAGGACGAACGCUGGCGGCGCGCUUAACACAUGCAAGUCGAGCGAGAACCAGGGCUUCGGCCCUGGGGACAGCGGCGAACGGGUGAGUAACACGUGGAUAACCUGCCCUCGGCACCGGGAUAGCCCGAGGAAACUCGGAUUAAUACCGGAUAGCCUUUCCGACUCUCGGGUCGGUUUGAAAAGGUAGCUUCGGCCUCUGGCCGAGGAUGGGUCCGCGGCGGAUUAGCUUGUUGGUGGGGUAACGGCCUACCAAGGCUCCGAUCCGUAGCUGGUCUGAGAGGACGAUCAGCCACACUGGGACUGAGACACGGCCCAGACUCCUACGGGAGGCAGCAGUGGGGAAUCUUGCGCAAUGGGCGAAAGCCUGACGCAGCGACGCCGCGUGAGGGAAGAAGGCCUUCGGGUUGUAAACCUCUUUCAGGAGGGACGAAGCUACUCGGGUUAAUAGCCCAGAGGGUGACGGUACCUCCAGAAGAGC
rnacentral:rRNA from 1 species